rnacentral:rRNA from 1 species
UACGGAGGGGACUAGCGUUGUUCGGAAUUACUGGGCGUAAAGCGCACGUAGGCGGAUUUGUAAGUCAGGGGUGAAAUCCCGAGGCUCAACCUCGGAACUGCACUCGAAACUGCCUGGCUUGAGUCCCGGAGAGGGUGGCGGAAUUCCCGGUGUAGGGGUGAAAUGCGUAGAUAUCGGGAGGAACACCAGUGGCGAAGGCGGCCACCUGGACGGUGACUGACGCUGAGACGCGAAAGCGUGGGGAGCAAACAGG